GAUGAAGAACGUAGCGAAAUGCGAUAAGUAAUGUGAAUUGCAGAAUUCAGUGAAUCAUCGAAUCUUUGAACGCACCUUGCGCCCUUUGGCUAUUCUGAAGGGCAUGCCUGUUUGAGUAUCGUGAACACCUCAACUCUCAUGGUCUGCCAUGAUGAGCUUGGACUUUGGGGGUCUUGCUGGCCUACUGUCAGCUCCUCUCAAAUGAAUCAGCUUACCAGUGUUUGGUGGCACCACAGGUGUGAUAACUAUCUACGCUUGUGGUUUUCUGCCAGGUAACCUCCAGUGAUGGAGGUUCGCUUGAGCUCACAAAUGUCUCUCCUCAGCGAGGACAGCUUUUUGAACGUUUGAUCUCAAAUCAGGUAGGACUACCCGCUGAACUUAAGCAUAUCAAUAAGCGGAGGA
rnacentral:misc_RNA from 1 species